GAUGAACGCUAGCUACAGGCUUAACACAUGCAAGUCGAGGGGCAGCAUUUCAGUUUGCUUGCAAACUGGAGAUGGCGACCGGCGCACGGGUGAGUAACACGUAUCCAACCUGCCGAUAACUCGGGGAUAGCCUUUCGAAAGAAAGAUUAAUACCCGAUGGUAUAAUCAGACCGCAUGGUCUUGUUAUUAAAGAAUUUCGGUUAUCGAUGGGGAUGCGUUCCAUUAGGCAGUUGGUGAGGUAACGGCUCACCAAACCUUCGAUGGAUAGGGGUUCUGAGAGGAAGGUCCCCCACAUUGGAACUGAGACACGGUCCAAACUCCUACGGGAGGCAGCAGUGAGGAAUAUUGGUCAAUGGGCGCAGGCCUGAACCAGCCAAGUAGCGUGAAGGAUGACUGCCCUAUGGGUUGUAAACUUCUUUUAUAUGGGAAUAAAGUUUUCCACGUGUGGAAUUUUGUAUGUACCAUAUGAAUAAGGAUCGGCUAACUCCGUGCCAGCAGCCGCGGUAAUACGGAGGAUCCGAGCGUUAUCCGGAUUUAUUGGGUUUAAAGGGAGCGUAGGUGGACAGUUAAGUCAGUUGUGAAAGUUUGCGGCUCAACCGUAAAAUUGCAGUUGAUACUGGCUGUCUUGAGUACAGUAGAGGUGGGCGGAAUUCGUGGUGUAGCGGUGAAAUGCUUAGAAAUCACGAAGAACUCCGAUUGCGAAGGCAGCUCACUGGACUGCAACUGACACUGAUGCUCGAAAGUGUGGGUAUCAAACAGGAUUAGAUACCCUGGUAGUCCACACAGUAAACGAUGAAUACUCGCUGUUUGCGAUAUACAGUAAGCGGCCAAGCGAAAGCAUUAAGUAUUCCACCUGGGGAGUACGCCGGCAACGGUGAAACUCAAAGGAAUUGACGGGGGCCCGCACAAGCGGAGGAACAUGUGGUUUAAUUCGAUGAUACGCGAGGAACCUUACCCGGGCUUAAAUUGCAUUUGAAUAUAUUGGAAACAGUAUAGCCGUAAGGCAAAUGUGAAGGUGCUGCAUGGUUGUCGUCAGCUCGUGCCGUGAGGUGUCGGCUUAAGUGCCAUAACGAGCGCAACCCUUAUCUUUAGUUACUAACAGGUCAUGCUGAGGACUCUAGAGAGACUGCCGUCGUAAGAUGUGAGGAAGGUGGGGAUGACGUCAAAUCAGCACGGCCCUUACGUCCGGGGCUACACACGUGUUACAAUGGGGGGUACAGAAGGCAGCUACCUGGUGACAGGAUGCUAAUCCCAAAAGCCUCUCUCAGUUCGGAUCGAAGUCUGCAACCCGACUUCGUGAAGCUGGAUUCGCUAGUAAUCGCGCAUCAGCCAUGGCGCGGUGAAUACGUUCCCGGGCCU
rnacentral:rRNA from 1 species